AACACUGUUAACCUGCGGUACCUGCGGAGGGAUCAUUACCGAGUUUACAACUCCCAAACCCCUGUGAACAUACCACUUGUUGCCUCGGCGGAUCAGCCCGCUCCCGGUAAAACGGGACGGCCCGCCAGAGGACCCCUAAACUCUGUUUCUAUAUGUAACUUCUGAGUAAAACCAUAAAUAAAUCAAAACUUUUAGCAACGGAUCU
rnacentral:misc_RNA from 1 species